CAGUCGCCGCGGGAAUACGUAGGGUGCAAGCGUUAAUCGGAAUUACUGGGCGUAAAGCGUGCGCAGGCGGUUCGCUAAGACAGAUGUGAAAUCCCCGGGCUUAACCUGGGAACUGCAUUUGUGACUGGCGGGCUAGAGUAUGGCAGAGGGGGGUAGAAUUCCACGUGUAGCAGUGAAAUGCGUAGAGAUGUGGAGGAAUACCGAUGGCGAAGGCAGCCCCCUGGGCCAAUACUGACGCUCAUGCACGAAAGCGUGGGGAGCAAACAGGAUUAGAUACCCCGGUAGUCCCUGUCUCUUAUAC
rnacentral:rRNA from 1 species